rfam:Cephalotus follicularis DNA, scaffold: scaffold239, isolate: St1.
AUUUUUGUGCUUGGGACAACGACAAAGUUAGUGAGGUACUAACCAAGUCGAGUAUAUUGCUGGUUGAAAACUAUUUCCAAACUCCCUCUUCGGCCAGGGUUCUGUUUAGGCCCCAGAGAAUUUUUGGAAGGAUAUCUG